rnacentral:rRNA from 1 species
GACGAACGCUGGCGGCGUGCUUAACACAUGCAAGUCGAACGGAAAGGCCUCUUUCGGGGGGUACUCGAGUGGCGAACGGGUGAGUAACACGUGAGUAACCUGCCCUUGACUUUGGGAUAACUUCAGGAAACUGGGGCUAAUACCGGAUAGGAGCUCCUGCUGCAUGGUGGGGGUUGAAAGUUUCGGCGGUUGGGGAUGGACUCGCGGCUUAUCAGCUUGUUGGUGGGGUAGUGGCUUACCAAGGCUUUGACGGGUAGCCGGCCUGAGAGGGUGACCGGCCACAUUGGGACUGAGAUACGGCCCAGACUCCUACGGGAGGCAGCAGUGGGGAAUAUUGCACAAUGGGUGGAAGCCUGAUGCAGCAACGCCGUGUGCGGGAUGACGGCCUUCGGGUUGUAAACCGCUUUCGCUCAUGACGAAGCUUUGUGUGACGGUAGUGGGUAAAGAAGCACCGGCUAACUACGUG